AUUUGACGUUAGCUGCAGAAGAAGCACCGGCUAACUCCGUGCCAGCAGCCGCGGUAAUACGGAGGGUGCGAGCGUUAAUCGGAAUUACUGGGCGUAAAGCGCAUGCAGGUGGUUUGUUAAGUCAGAUGUGAAAGCCCGGGGCUCAACCUCGGAAUUGCAUUUGAAACUGGCAAACUAGAGUACUGUAGAGGGGGUAGAAUUUCAGGUGUAGCGGUGAAAAUGCGUAGAGAUCUGAAGGAAUACCGGUGGCGAAGGCGGCCCCCUGGACAGAUACUGACACUCAGAUGCGAAAGCGUGGGGAGCAAAACAGGAUUAGAUACCCUGGUAG
rnacentral:rRNA from 1 species